GAUGAACGCUGGCGGCGUGCCUAAUACAUGCAAGUCGAGCGAACGGACGAGAAGCUUGCUUCUCUGAUGUUAGCGGCGGACGGGUGAGUAACACGUGGAUAACCUACCUAUAAGACUGGGAUAACUUCGGGAAACCGGAGCUAAUACCGGAUAAUAUUUUGAACCGCAUGGUUCAAAAGUGAAAGACGGUCUUGCUGUCACUUAUAGAUGGAUCCGCGCUGCAUUAGCUAGUUGGUAAGGUAACGGCUUACCAAGGCAACGAUGCAAAGCCGACCUGAGAGGGUGAUCGGCCACACUGGAACUGAGACACGGUCCAGGCUCCUACGGGAGGCAGCAGUAGGGAAUCUUCCGCAAAGGGCGAAAGCCUGACGGAGCAACGCCGCGUGAGUGAUGAAGGUCUUCGGAUCGUAAAACUCUGUUAUUAGGGAAGAACAUAUGUGUAAGUAACUGUGCACAUCUUGACGGUACCUAAUCAGAAAGCCACGGCUAACUACGUG
rnacentral:rRNA from 1 species